GCUGGGUGAUGUGACGCAUUCCUGUAAUCCCAGAGGCUCAGGAGGCUGAGGCAGGAGGAUUGUGGGUUCAAAGCCAGACUCAGAAAAAGUGAGUUGCUAAGCAACCCAGUGAGACCCUGUCUCUA
rnacentral:sRNA from 1 species